rnacentral:lncRNA from 1 species
GAUUGGACUGUAAACAAACCAGGUAGAUAACCAGGUAGAAAAGCAUGCUAAGGGUUCGGCAAUGUUAUUCUUUUCGGGCGGUCUUAGGCUUGCAAGUGAUUUGUCGUUGACUUGCGCAUUGUAAACAAGGAUGUGUAAACGUUUUGGUAGGACCAGCAUGGACCAGCUAAUGGAAAACGUGCAACUUAUGGGACAUACUGGUUACGUGCACGGAAUAACAUAUGGUGAACCAUGGAAUUAAAAAUGUGAGAUGUGAUCUCUGUAGGAUAAAUACCUCUUCUCCUGCCCCUGUUUCAUAACCCACAGAGGAGUGUAGAAAGCAAAAGCUGUUUUCAGGACCGAUCAAACAGUUUUCAUUUCCAAAUGGCUGCAAUCUUGUUGAUGACCGUGUUGCUCAUGAUGGCUGGAAGAUGGUGUGCAUUGGCAAGAGAAAAGAUAGAGUGAGAUUUCUAGCGUCACUCCACCCCGUGAGAGAUGCCCACAAGAUCUUGUGGUAUAUGUACUGGGUGGAAUUCCCCUUCCCCUCACAAAAGACGCUCGAGUUUGGCACCAUUCAUAUCUUGGUUAGUUUGUGCCAACAUGAAUCUCCAGGUGUGGUCAUAGCUCCUACACCGAUCAAAGCCAGCUUGCGCGAGGUAAAGUUCGUUUUCGUUUUCUCUGCUUUGUGCUACUUGAGCUACUGCUGCAGGAUAUCUAUGCGAAGGUCAUGUAAGAGGCCAAGACUUUGGAACUCACUCGGAGGUGGAGUUUUUGUCAUCCCCAAGAGCUGUGCAGACGUUUCCUGAGCCGACAGUCCAUGAAAUUCACUUUAGGACAUAGAAAUCAUUUAAACAUAUAUUCAACUCUAUCAAGUAUUAAAAUGUCUGUUCAGCAAUUGAUUUCAUCCCUUGUUAAUGUCCAGCUGGAUAACAAUAAGAUGACAAACCUGAACACCGGGAGUGGCGUGCUCACUCUUUCGUAAGCGUCUGUUCCAGCAUGUUUUUCAUCUUAUUUGUGGUGAAUGUUACUGCAGCCUGGCAGGGAAUCCAGUUUGUGAUGGCAGUAGGCUUUGUGCCUCCCUUGCCGCGCUGCUGGAGGAGGGACGCCGAUGAGCUUCUUCUACUGGGAGGCAUGAUGCCGGAUGCCCGAAAUCCCUAUCCUGAGCUACUCUGCCUAUCCACAGUGAUAUUUCGCGGCGCCGGAGCUCGAUGCUUGCAUAAUACGCGAUCCAGAUGCUUCAAAUCCUCGCCGCCUCUCCCAAUGGAGCUAGAUCGAUCGCCUUGAAGAUCAUCCACCGCAUUGCCUUGCCCAAAUCUGGAUGGGAUUCGCGGCGCACCCCUGCAUUGUAUCCAAAAUCUGGAGCGACGCGCCUGCGAUUCAUGGCGGCGGAAGGGAUAGCGCAAUCCCUAAUGCGAUGGAGGAGGAGAGGGGAGAGAAGAAGAGGAGAAAGAGGCUCACUGUCCCGUUUCUCCCAAAAACCAUGCACCACAUUGAGCUGCUUGUCAAGCGUCCGGCAAUCCACGCCGUCCAGAGGGGGCCCGCGUGCGUGGCACACACUCGUGCGUCGGAUGGAGAGCAGGUACUGGUCGUUGGAUCCAAAGGGCCCCGAGACAACCGCAACCGCUCAACGCAGACAUGCCGUCCCGCAACAUAAUACCCAAGGGUUCCUUCCGCGAACCAACGGUCCGAGGAGCGCAAUUAAGUUCUAUUAGUUGUCUGAUGUCAUUGUAGUAUAGUGGUGAGUAUUUCCGCCUGUCACGCGGACGACCUGGGUUCGAUCCCCGGCAACGGCGAGAUUAAUCAAUUGGAUUUAUAAGUAAUAACAAAACCAUAACAAUUUAUUUAAGGUAUUUCUAUGCAUGCAUUUGCUGAAAGGGACAACGUAAUCCUCCAUCGUAGUAUGGUCCAAUCUUGCCGGAUUUCAGCACUCCCAGCUCCGCCAGCUUGUAUCCCUUCUCAAAUGCUGGUGGCCGAUACACAUUCACGUUGAGCUGCCGGUACUCUUCCGGAUUGGCAGCGGGAUUAGGACACCAGUCCACCUCAAUGCUGCCCUUCGCAUCCUCCACACGUCUGGGAGGCAUAAAUGCGGACACGCAGCUCCCGGCCAGCAGCUUGAACGCACCCAAGAUGAUCCACUCCACGAUCACGGGGGGCUUUUCCAAUCCAACAGCGCUCCUGAUUGUGGGAUCGAUGAGCGCGCAGAUCCCAGUCUCUACCAGCGGCUGCACGGGCUGAGGAAACGCGUCCAGCACCAGAUGCUUGAGAUCCUGGACGAUGCUCUUGUUCUUGUCCGUGAAGAUGGCGUUCUUGGCCUCGUACUCGCGAAUGUACUCUCGCAUCUCGGAAAUGCUGUCUGGGAUGUUUGUGAUGCCCAUCCUCACGCCCACGUCGUGCCACACAACAUACGCGGCCUCCUUCUCGUUGUCGGUCCACUUGCGGAAUCCAAACUUCUCGGAGAAAUCAAUGGGACUGAUCACGUUGAGGCAGAGGACGUAGGCGAAUUGGUCGUUUGGGAUCUUGAAUUUGUUGUGGAUUCCAUUCAAUCUCCUCACCGCGUACGAGCCGCGAUCGCUGUCGACGUGGUGGUGGAUCAUCUCGCUCACCAGAAUGUUGGUCUCGGCAGCGCGCUUCUCGGGAUCCUUGAGGCCGUACUUGGUCUUGAAGAGCAGAUUUGUGAUCCCGGGGAUGCCCAGCGUGCGGAUGGUGCCAAACUCGAGCGCCUUUUGUGAGAGGAAGGGGAAUUCCACCGAGUACAUAUACCACAAGAUCUUGUGGGCAUCUCUCACGGGGUGGAGUGACGCUAGAAAUCUCGCUCUCUCUUUUCUCUUGCCAAUGCACACCAUCUUCCAUGCUGCAGCCAUCACGAGCAACACGAUCGUCAACAAGAUUGCAGCCAUUCUGAAAUGGUUGCGUUGUGAAAACUGUUUGAUCUAAAAUCUGUGCGUGCAAAAGAAAGAACUAGGUUGGUGAAACAUGGGCAAGAGAAGGGGUAUUUAUACCAGUGAUCCAACAGAGAUCACAUUUCACGUUUUCUAUUCAUGUAGCACUAACGUGCACGCUGUUUGAUCUGUGCUUUCUUUCAGCCACACACUUAACAUCAAUCAAAAAAUCUAUAGUCCCCUUAUUGUACGUUUACAACAUGUGGUCUAUGCAAUUUUUGGGUCACAAGUACACUCUAUUUAUUGUGGUUCAGGGUGAUGCGCUCGCGAGAUUCUGCGCACGAACACAGCUCAGGUGAUGUGCUGGUAUGCACGUAACCAGUAUGUCCCAUAAGUUGCACGUUUUCCAUUCCAUGCCGGUCCUACGAAAACCUUUACACAUCCUUGUUUAUGAUGCACAAUUCAACGACAAAUCACUUGCAAGCUUAUACUAUUGGAGAUGUACGCUCCCCAUAACAUGAGAGGUCUACAUGGCAUGUGGUGCUACCACAUAGAUCCAUGUAGGCUAGAGAGAGUCACGACUCUUGAGAUUGUAUAUGUAGAGGUAUGAUGAUAUCUGAGUAUAUCCAUUCAUCGUCCACUAUGCUUCCACUUGUUUACGACAUAUACUUCAGUAAGACCACCUGAAAAGAAUAACAUUGCCUAACCCUUAGCAUGCGAUCGUUUUUUAUCUACCUGGUUUGUUUACAGUCCAUUUGUGCCCAAUGGAGGAUGCAAUCUUGUAGUAUCUGGUGAGUAUUUCCACCUGUCACCCUGGCUACUGUGCAAUUUUAUCUUGCAUCUCAAAUGUUGAAUGGCAGAUACUAGCUUCUGGGAUUGGCAGCAGGAGUGGAACUGCCCUUGGCAUCCUCGACAUUUUUACCAGCAGCUUGAACUGAUUCCAGUCCACAAUCACCCAGGGCUUUUCCAAUGGGAUUGCCACAAUAGGGUCUCCCCAAGCAAAACAAUUGCCAAACUUUUUCUUUCUCUGUCUUUGAAUCUAUUAUCUCAAAGGUCUCCAGCCCAUAUGUUCGGCAGUCAGUUCUUUGCUUGAUUGUCCACUAAUAAUGAAUUAUUAUUCACUUUACUGGUUUCAUAACGGUCUAGAGAGAGAGUAGCCUCAGCCAUGUGUAGCCUGGGCAUCUUCCACGUCCACGUCCUUGACCUCCUGUUCGCGGACCGGGCAUCGCCGGUCUGCCCAGGCCGUCACCACGCUCCGAUUACGCUAUGGAGAUUGUGCAUCUCUGGUCAGUAUCUCGAAGCGUUUCUAGCCGAGUGGGUUGUAGACUGGAGGCCCGAUUGUUCGAGUGAUGUUUACAUUGGUGAGAGAUAGUAUUGGAAUUUUGUCUUGCGAUCUGCGCCACAUAGCCAGCUUUUGAAUGCCAGGCUGAUCCAGCUAUCGGGGACAGUGGUAACUGGUUGCUGGAGGAGAGUGUCCAGAUCGACGUUAAGUUUCUUUGUCCGUCGCCUACAGUCAUACCACCAGCCGGUGUUGUGACUGUCUGCGAGCAACUGGGAGUCUUGAAUUGCCACACACACACAGUGUCUCUGCGGGCGGUUAGGAGGAAUUGGAGUGUGUCUCUCCACGCCAGGAUUUCUGUUGGCAUGAGACCUGUGUCCAUGCAUAGCAGUCCAUAUGGGAAUUGGUUACAGAGCCCGAAUUCCGGGCACCAAUACAGGAGGAUCAGGGGUGCUGUAAUGUGUGCGUCGCAGAUCUGUCGCAUCCCAUCGAUAUAUGUUCGCGUUUCGCAGACUUGCCAAAAGUUGACGGUGUGCUCGUUGAGCAGCAGCAAGCUUAGUGUGCACUUCUACCUUCUAAGGACGUUGCUGAUGCAGGGUGAUGCUUGUACUGUGUUGCUCUUGUGACAUCAUGGCCUGAAUAUAACAGGGGGCGGGGGGGGGGGGGCCCUUCCCGAAAGCCAGCAGCUCUGUGUCAGAGUGUACUUGUGACCCAAAAAUUGCAUAGACCACACGUUGUAAAAACGUACAAUAAGGGGACUAUAGAUUUUUUUAUUGUGUGGCUGAAAGAAUGCACAGAUCAAACAGCGUGCACGUUAGUGCUCCAUGAAUAAAAAAUGUGAAAUGUGAUCUCUGUUGGAUCACUGGUAUAAAUACCCCUUCUCUUGCCCAUGUUUCACCAACCUAGUUCUUUCUUUUGCACGCACAGAUUUUAGAUCAAACAGUUUUCACAACGCAACCAUUUCAGAAUGGCUGCAAUCUUGUUGAUGAUCGUGUUGCUCGUGAUGGCUGCAGCAUGGAAGAUGGUGUGCAUUGGCAAGAGAAAAGAGAGAGCGAGAUUUCUAGCAUCACUCCACCCCGUGAGAGAUGCCCACAAGAUCUUGUGGUAUAUGUACUCGGUGGAAUUCCCCUUCCUCUCACAAAAGGCGCUCGAGUUUGGCACCAUCCGCACGCUGGGCAUCCCCGGGAUCACAAAUCUGCUCUUCAAGACCAAGUACGGCCUCAAGGAUCCCGAGAAGCGCGCUGCCGAGACCAACAUUCUGGUGAGCGAGAUGAUCCACCACCACGUCGACAGCGAUCGCGGCUCGUACGCGGUGAGGAGAUUGAAUGGAAUCCACAACAAAUUCAAGAUCCCAAACGACCAAUUCGCCUACGUCCUCUGCCUCAACGUGAUCAGUCCCAUUGAUUUCUCGGAGAAGUUUGGAUUCCGCAAGUGGACCGACAACGAGAAGGAGGCCGCGUAUGUUGUGUGGCACGACGUGGGCGUGAGGAUGGGCAUCACAAACAUCCCAGACAGCAUUUCCGAGAUGCGAGAGUACAUUCGCGAGUACGAGGCCAAGAACGCCAUCUUCACGGACAAGAACAAGAGCAUCGUCCAGGAUCUCAAGCAUCUGGUGCUGGACGCGUUUCCUCAGCCCGUGCAGCCGCUGGUAGAGACUGGGAUCUGCGCGCUCAUCGAUCCCACAAUCAGGAGCGCUGUUGGAUUGGAAAAGCCCCCCGUGAUCGUGGAGUGGAUCAUCUUGGGUGCGUUCAAGCUGCUGGCCGGGAGCUGCGUGUCCGCAUUUAUGCCUCCCAGACGUGUGGAGGAUGCGAAGGGCAGCAUUGAGGUGGACUGGUGUCCCAAUCCCGCUGCCAAUCCGGAAGAGUACCGGCAGCUCAACGUGAAUGUGUAUCGGCCACCAGCAUUUGAGAAGGGAUACAAGCUGGCGGAGCUGGGAGUGCUGAAAUCCGGCAAGAUUGGACCAUACUACGAUGGAGGAUUACGUUGUCCCUUUCAGCAAAUGCAUGCAUAGAAAUACCUUAAGUAAAGUUUUGUUAUUACUUAUUAAUCCAAUUGAUCAAAUAAAGUUUAUAAUUAUAAGCAUGUUUGCUCGUAAUCUCGCCGUUGCCGGGGAUCGAACCCGGGUCGUCCGCGUGACAGGCGGAAAUACUCACCACUAUACUACAACGACAUCAGACAACGAAUACAAAGGAAGAAUUUGUAUCAAGCCAUUGUUUAAUUGCUGAAUAGACAUUUUAAUACUUGAUAGAUUUCGUGAACUUAAUAUGUGUUUAAAUGAUUUUCUAUGUCCUCCUAAUGAAAUUUCACGAAUCCACGAUGGAAUGUCCAUUGGUGGCUCCGGAAAUGUCUGCACAGCUCUUGGGGAUGACAAAAACUCCAACUCCGAGUGAGUUCCAAAGUCUUGGCCUCUUACAUGACCUUCGCAUAGAUAUCCUGCAGCAGUAGCUCAAGUAGCACAAAGCAGAGAAAACGAAAACGAACUUUACCUCGCGCAAGCUGGCUUUAAUCGGUGUAGGAGCUAUGACCACACCUGGAGAUUCAUGCGUCUUUUGUGAGAGGAAGGGGAAUUCCACCCAGUACAUAUACCACAAGAUCUUGUGGGCAUGUCUCAUGGGGUGGAGUGACGCUAGAGAUCUCGCUCUAUCUUUUCUCUUGCCAAUGCACACCAUCUUCCAGCCAUCAUGAGCAACACGGUCAUCAACAAGAUUGCAGCCAUUUGGAAAUGAAAACUGUUUGAUCGGUCCUGAAAACAGCUUUUGCUUUCUACACUCCUCUGUGGGUUAUGAAACAGGGGCAGGAGAAGAGGUAUUUAUCCUACAGAGAUCACAUCUCACAUUUUUAAUUCCAUGGUUCACCAUAUGUUAUUCCGUGCACGUAACCAGUAUGUCCCAUAAGUUGCACGUUUUCCAUUAGCUGGUCCAUGCUGGUCCUACCAAAACGUUUACACAUCCUUGUUUACAAUGCGCAAGUCAACGACAAAUCACUUGCAAGCCUAAGACUGCCCAAAAAGAAUAACAUUGCCGAACCCUUAGCAUGCUUUUUUACCUGGUUAUCUACCUGGUUUGUUUACAGUCCAUUUGUGCCCAAUGGGGUGCAAUCUUGUAGUAUCUGGUGAGUAUUUCCACCUGUCACCCUAGCUACUGUGCAAUUUUUCCUUGCAUCUCAAAUGUUGAUUGGUAGAUACACAUUAAUGGGGCAGUGGGAGUGGGACUGCCCUUGGCAUCCUCCACAUUUCUACCAUGAACUGAUUCCACUCCACAAUCACCCAGGGCUUUUCCAAUGGGAUCGCCACCACUGGAGCCAAUCCCCAAGGAAAACAAUUGCCAAACUUUUUCUUUCUCUGUGUUUGAAUCUAUUAUCUCGAAGGUCUCCAGCCCAUUUGUUUCACCAGUCAGUUCUUGGAUUGUCUCACAAAUUCAUGAUCCACUAAUAAUGAACUGUUGUGAUUUUCUCCUUUUAAAAUUUUCUCUAAUCCGUUGCUAAUUAAAGUUUAAUAUUAUUAUUCUUAAUUAUCACUAAUAAAAAUCAUGUUAUUCUUAGGCCCUCUUUCUCAACAAUUAUAAUUGAACUUUUGCCUCUACUUUUCAGUAUCUUGCUCAGAUGCAACUUCUACCUAAGUAAGAAACUAUACAAUAUUUCUGGCCACUAGAGCUUAGUCUAAAGCUUCAACCAUAAAGGCACUUCUUGUUAAAAUAUUUCUAGUAAAAUGUUUUAUUUUAUUAAAAAAUUUAAAUAAUUUUUUUUUAAAAAUAAUAAAGCAUUAUUUUCCAAAAACAAUUAUUACUACAUAGCAUAGCAAAUUAUCCUACAAGACUCUAAAUUGUUACCUAGGGGACUGCUAAAUAUGCCCUUAGUGCCCCCAGAACAACUAAGCAUUUGGGCCUAUACUACACAAAUUCUAAGGAUAUAACUCAAGAGUUAUUGUGUGAUGGGGAGGCAUAUAAAAUAUCAUCCUCUAGAAGCCUUCAAUGUAUGCUACAAGGUUAAAGAGGCUAGAGUAAUAAUAACCAAACUCUUUAUGUAAUCUCUUGGAUUAUUUUAAAGGAGUUUUUAGCUUCAAACCAAUUAUGUAGCCAUACAAUUUUUGAACUAUACUCAAAAUAAGGUAUUGCUAGCUAGUAGUCUUCUCAAAGACAAGGAGAGUAAAAACAUUGAUAAAAGUGAGAGAGGGUGUAAUCAAGAUAAGAAAGUAAUAGUAGGUGUUUGUUAGUUUUUUUUGGAGCUGGAUCUAAAUAAGAUUUUAACUCCAUCCCAAUGUAGUGUUGUCACAGUUGAUACCCAUGUCCAAGAUAUGCCUAUCAUAGACAAUGGCAGUGAGAGUGGUGCUGUAAAAAAGCUUGACGAACAGGUGUUGUUAUCUUGCUCAAGCUCACAAAGCUCAUGAAUGGAGAAAUCCUUGUGCAUGAAAUUUCCAAUCCAAUCCCUAUAUCUCUAUCUAGAUUUGAACAUCAACUAACCUGUGGUUACCCCAUUUGAAACUUCAGUAAUCUCUUACCUGUUAAUUUUGCACACCACUUUAUUAUGAAAGCUCUUGUAGAGCGUGGUUAUGGCACUGGAGAGAAUGCCUAUUUCCAGGCUCUAAUAUGGCUUUUAAAAACUCUUUUCACCAAGACAAGAAUCUGUAUAUUAGGAUAUUGCUCUAGUGGUAUGGCUAUUUAUCACCCUAGUCCCAUUUGAGCAUAUCAUGGAUGGGGACUUUCAAGUGCAACAUGAUAGUUUGUGUGCUUUAUGAGUCAAAAAGCUAAACUUUAAACAUACAACUCUCCAAGUACAUUAGGAAGCUCAAUGAUAUGUAGCUAGGUGGUCUUCUAAAAUAUAUAUAUAAGUUUUAAGGUUUAUUUAAAAAGGUUUAUAAGGUGGCAUUUCAUAAAGAAAACAUAGCUUUUAGUUGAUUAAAGAGGAUAUUAAAUGAUUCUAGUAUAUGGUCUAAAUAUAAAAGGAAAGAGUCUAUAAACAAAAUGCACCCCUUUUUCAAUUGGUUAAAAGUAUUAUGAGAUUUGGGUUAAGCGUCUUUGGUUUUGAAUAAUGCUAGAUUGGGUUACCUCAUGGGGUUGGGGUUGUAUUACUUGUAACUUUAUGCUCUCCUAUACUUCAAUACAGGUAGAGUAAAGUAAUUGUAACUUUGGGCUCUCUUAUACCUCAAUACAGGUAGAGUAAGGUGAUUGAGCUUAACUUUGGGCUCUCUUAUACUUCAAUAUAGGUAGAGUAAGGUGAUUAAGCAUAUAUUCAAUGAGCAUUAUUAUAUUGAACUCUUAUACAAAAAAUAGAGAGUGUAGAAUAUAAAAAUCUCAUUGCUUUUUAUAAGUUUUAUUUAAUUGAUAAAUCUUUUAACAAUAUUUUUCCAUAUACCUCAUUGAGCUUUUCUAUCUUUGAAAGAAUCAACAUCUAUUUGUAUUAUCUAUGGUUCUCACUAAGAAGAUAAAAAAAAUUGCACUUAAGAUCCAAAGAGCAAGUAGAGUUUAUAGGCUUAUAAGUUUAAUUCUUUUCUUCCCCCUUUUUAAUCUUUAGAUCGAUUUUUGCUCUUGAAUUUCCCCUAGAACAUAUGUUAAAUUCAUAACAUGUGGAUUACCAAGUUUGACUUGGAUAUUUUUGCAUCAAAGUUGGUUAUCCUUUAGAUUGAAUAAUAAUUUAAAGGUCUUUGGGGUAUUGGAGAUUGGUUGAGGAUUAGAUAAAUGGAAAAUUUAUCAACUAACUAUGUAUAAUAACUUGGUGCUUUUAUACUAUUUAUGCUGUAUAGUUUUUGAUUUAGCUUUUAAAAAUCUUAUUUUAAAGAUGAAAUUUAAUGGUUGAACGUAUUUGAGAAAUUUUAUGCACAACCACCUAGUGAGCUAGAAAUAUUUAACAAAUCAAGCAUAGAAAUGGAUGAAAUUAGGGAAGUUCAACCACUUUUGAAUGAUUAUGAAAGAUUUUUUGUUAAAAAGAUCUAAUUAAUAUCAAGGCAAAAAGUUUCAAAGUAAAUACUAAACAUUAUGUGUUUUUUUCUUUUUUUGUUACUUUUAAUAUACAAACUUCAUGCAAAGGUUUUGCUCUAGAGUUUAUUGGGUUUUUAAUUCAACCAUGUUUUCCCCAUAAUGUAAAUUAGAUGAAGUGAUCUAGACACCAAACAAUUUAUGCAUGAGGUGCAAAGUGAUCAGCUAAUAAGAAAAGGUAAAAAAUACUUUUUCAUUUUACUUUUAUUGUUUAUUCUACCUGGUUAUCUACCUGGUUUGUUUACAGUCCAUUUGUGCCCAAUGGGGUGCAAUCUUGUAGUAUCUGGUGAGUAUUUCCAGCUGUCACCCUAGCUACUGUGCAAUUUUUCCUUGCAUCUCCAAUGUUGAAUGGCAGAUACACAUUAUCUAUGGGAAUGGGACUGCCCUUGGCAUCCUCUACAUUUCUACCAUGAACUGAUUCCAUUCCAAAUCACCCAGGGCUUUUCCAAUGGGAUUGCCACCAUUGGGUCUCUGGAGCCAAUCCCCGAGCAAAAAAAUUGCGAAACUUUUUCUUUCUCUGUGUUUGAAUCUAUUAUCCCAAAGAUUUCCAGCCCAUAUGUUUCACCAGUCAGUUCUUUGUUUUACAGGCAUUUGUGACAAAUGGAUUGUCUCACAAAUUCAUGACCCACUAAUAAUGAACUGUUGUGAUUUUCUCCUUUUAAAAAUUUCUCUACUCCAUUGCUAAUUAAAUUUUAAUAUAAUUAUUCUUAAUUAUCACUAAUAUAAAUCAUGUUAUUCUUAGGCUUUCCUGUACUCCUCUUUCUCAACAAUUAUAAUUGAACUUUUGCCUCUACAUUUCAGUAUCUUGCUCAUAUGCAACUUCUACAUAAAGAAUUAGAGUAAGGAACCAUACAAUAUUUCUGGCCACUAAAGCUUAGUCUAAAGCUUCAACCAUAAAGGCACUGCUUGUUAAAUAUUGGACAUGGUUAUAUUAAACUCAAUCAUUAAAUUUCAUUAAAUAAUAUUAUAAAUACAGGAUAAUAUAGCACAUUCCUUUAUAUUAAAGAUUUAUUACUUAUUAUUUAUUUAUAAUGAAAUUUUUAAUUUAAUUUAAUUAUAAUUUUAUAUAGUUAUUAAAAUAUUUCUAGUAAAUUUUUUAUUUUAUUGAAAAAUUUAAAUAAGUUUUUUAAAAUAAAAUAAAGCAUUAUUUCCCAAAAACAAUUAGUACUACAUAGUGUAGCAAAUUAUCCUACAAGAAUCUAAAUUGUCACCUAAGGGACUACUAAAUAUGCCCUUAAUGCCUCCAGAACAACUAAGCAUUUGGGUCUAUACUACACAAAUUCUAAGGAUAUAACUCAAGAGUUAUUGUGUAGUGUAUUGGGAUGGGGAGGCAUAAAAAAUACCAUCCUUUAGAGGUCUUUGAUGUAUGCUAUAAGGUUAAAGAGGCUAGAGUAAUAGUAAUUAAUAACUCUUUAUAUAAUCUCUUAGAGCUUUUUAAAGGAGUUUUUAGCUUCAAACCAAUUAUGCAACUAUACAAUUUUUGAACUGUACUCAAAAUGAGGUAUUGCUAGCUAAUAGUCUUCUAAAAGAUAAGGAGAGUAAAGACAUUGAUAAAAGUGACAGAGGGUGUAAUAAGGAUAAGAAAAUAAUAGUAGGUGCUUGUUAGUUUUUUUUGGAGCUAGAUCUAAAUAAGAUUUUAACUCCAUCCCAAUGUAAUAUUGUUGCAAUUGGUACCCAUGUCCAAGAUAUGCCUAUCAUAGCCAAUGGCAGUGAGAUUGGAGCUGAAAAAAAGCUUGAUGAAUAGAUGUUGUUGUCCUGCUCAAGCUCACAAAGCUCAUGAAUGGAGAAAUCUUUAUGCAUGAAAUUUCCAAUCCAAUUCCUAUAUCUCUAUCUAAAUUUGAACCUCAACUAACCUGUGGUUGCCCCAUUUGAAACUUCAAUAAUCUCUUACCUGUUAAUUUUGCACACCACUUUAUUAUGAAAAAUCUUGUAGAGCAUGGUUAUGGCACUGAAGAGAAUGCCUAUUUCCAAGCUCUAAUAUGGUUUUCUAGAACCCUUUUCACCAGAACAAGAAUCUGUAUGCUAGGCUAUUGCUCUAGUGGUAUGGCUAUUUAUCACCCUAGUCCCAUUUGAGCAUAUCAUGGAUGGGGACUUUCAAGCACAACAUGACAGUUUGUGUGCUUUAUGACUCAAAAAGAUAAACUUUAAACAUACAGCUCUCCAAGUACAUUAGGAAGCUUAAUAAUAUGUAGCUAGAUGGUCUUCUAAAAUAUAUAUAAGUUUUAGGGUUCAUUUAAAAGGGUUUAUAAGGUGGACUUUCAUAAAGAAAACAUGGCUUUUAGUUGAUUAAAGAGGAUUUUCUACACAUAUUAAAUGAUUCUAGUAUACAGUCUAAAUAUAAAGGGAAAGAGUCUAUAAAUAAAAUGCACCCCUUUUUCAAUUGGUUAAGAGUAUUUGGUUUUGAAUAAUAUUGGGUUGGGUUACCUCUUGGGGUUGGGGUUUUAUUGCUUGUAACUUUAAGCUCUAUUAUACUUCAAUACAGGUAGAGUAAGGUGAUUGUAACUUUGGGCUCUCUUAUACUUCAAUAUAGGUAGAGUAAUGUGAUUGAGCCUAACUUUAGGCUCUCCUAUACUUCAAUACAAGUAGAGUAAAGUGAUUAAGCAUAUAUUCAAUAAGCAUUAUUAUAUUGAACUCUUAUACAAAAAAUAGAGAGUGUAGAAUAUUGAAAUCUUAUUGCUUUUUAUAAGUUUUAUUUAACUGCUAAAUCUUUUAACAAUCUUUUUCCAUAGACCUUAUUGAGAUUUUCUAUCUUUGAAAGAAUCAAUAUCUAUUUGUAUUAUUUAUAGUUCUUACUAAGAAGAUAAAACAAAUUGCACUCAAGAUCUAAAAAGCAAGUAGAGUUUAUAGGCUUAUAAGUCUAAUUCUUCUCUUCCCCCUUUUUAAUUUUUAGAUCGAUUUUUGCUCUUGAAUUUCCCCUAGAAUAUAUGUUAAAUUCAUAACAACAUGUGGAUUACCAAGUUUGACUUGGAUAUUUUACAUCAAAGUUGGUUAUCCUUCAGAUUGAACAAUUAUUUAAAGGUCUUUAGGGUAUUUGGAGAUUGGCUGAGGAUUAGAUAAAUGGAAAAUUUAUCAAUUAACUAUGUAUAAUAACUUGGUGCUUUUAUACUAUUUAUGCUGUAUAGUUUUUGAUUUAACUUUUAAAAAUCUUAGUUUAAAGAUGAAAUUUAAUGGUUGAAUGUAUUUGAGAAAUUUCAUGCACAACCACCUAGUGAGCAAGAAAGAUUUAACAAAUCAAGCAUAGAAAUGGAUGAAAUUAGGGAAGUUCAACCACAUUUGAAUGAUUAUGAAAGAUUUUUUGUUAAAAAACUCUAAUGAAUAUUAAGGAAAAAAGUUUCAAAGUAAAUACUAAAUAUUAUGUGUUUUUUCUUUUUUUUUUGUUACUUUUAAUAUACAAACUUCAUGCAAAGGUUUUGCUCUAGAGUUUAUUGGGGUUUUCAAUUUAACCAUGUUUUCCCCAUAGUGUAAAUUAGAUGAAGCGAUCUAGACACCAAGCAAUUUAUGCAUGAGGUGCAAAGUGAUUGGCUAAUAAGAAAAGGUAAAAAAUGCUUCUUCAUUUUACUUUUAUUGUUUCUUCUACUAUUUCAUUCACAUGAAUGGUUUUAAGUCAUGCUUGAUUUAAGGAGCUAUAUAGGUUAGAAUUAAGUGAUUAUAUCUAUAGGCUAUGUGCCAUUGGCAUUCCAGUAAGUUUUUUUGAGAAGAUUGUAAGUCAAGGAUAUAAUAGUGAGGAUUUGUUUAAGCUUGAGCUUAGGAAGGUUUUAAAGCUUGACACAUAGAAUAGAGAUGCAAUGAAUAUGUGUAGAGUGGUGAAGAAUUUUGUACUAGGUAAAAACUAUAUAGUUUUUACUCAUUUCUAGAUUAAUAGUACAAAGAGUGACUCUUGAAAAGUCUCUCUCUUAUAAAAGAUAGGUGUUUAUUAGUGCCACUAACCAUGGUACUCCUAGUCAAGCAUCACUCAAGUGUCAUACAAAACUAAGCAAAAAGGUAUAACAAAAUUUUAGUACAUCUAACUAUAAACCCAGCUCAUUGAAGCUAUAUAUAGUUAAACAUUGAGUGACCAUUUCUACCAUAUAUAUAAGCAAAAGAUCAUAGACAAACUCAUUAGUCUUUAGUAACAUUUAAAGAAAGUGAGGCAAAUGGUAUAAAAAGUACAUUGAGCACUUUUUUGAUGAAGUUAUAGUGCAAUUUCACACAUUUUAGGAUUUGAGAAUCAAAAAAUAAAAUAUUAUGUUUUUUAAAAUAAUUAACUCAAAAACUGUUAUAAAGUUUUGUUUUAAUUGUGUCAUUUGCACUAGAAAAAGUUCUUGUGCAAUAUGAAGCAACAUAUAGAAUAUCCUUAUAGAAUUUUAAAAAAUUUCUAUAAUAUAUUUAUUGAAUUAAAGUUGUUUGAUGGUUUGUAUGUGCAAUUCUGUAACAAAGUGACUGCAUUCAAGUUUCAGAUUUUAUAAUUUUAUUCAUUACUAAAAAUCAAGGCAUAAACAUUUUAAGCCCCAACUUAUAAUUGAAUGUCAUAAGUCAACAAUUCUCCCAACUUAGGGAAUGCCUUUAAAUUCAAGCAUUUUUAGAAAGUUUGAACUUUCAACUUUCAAAGGAGAUGGCCCUUUUGAUAAAAAUCAAAAUUGACUACUACUUAUUCACUGCCAAAGGAGUCUAGGCCAACCAAUUUGGAAAUGAAAAAAUAAUUAAUGGAAAAGUUUUUAUUUAGGAUUGUGGAAAUUUAUGUUAAGAAUGAAAAAAAAGAAAAUUUAUUGCUAGUAAGAAUGCUAGAAUGGUUUGUUUGAUCUUUCUACUAAGUUAUAAAACCUAAAAUAUUAUAUUGAAAACAUGUGGUUUUAUAUAGUAAAUUGGUUUUUUAUGUUGAAUUUUUAUAAACUCAUUUUAAUGUGUUUUAUGGAUUUUAUCUUCUAGUGUUUCUUUUAAAGGGCCCUUGUAUGAAAGAAUGCUCAUCCACACCUAAAGUCUCAUUCAUAUCUUUUUCAAUGAGAUUAAAAUCGGUCCAAAAUCUUUAUGCAUAAGUCUAGGCUGACUAAAUUGCUUUACAACUCCAAUGUAAAUGUCAUAGACUGUAUCACCUCAUAUGUUCAUACAAAGCUCUACAACCACAAUGUAAUGGGAUGAUGGUAUAUUAUAAUCAAUAACUUGUUAAAACCACUGGGCAUGCCACACUAGAUCAAUGAUUUGCAAUGCUAAACAAACAUUAUGAUCCCAAACCUUUAUCCCAACCCACCUCAAAAUGCCAUAUGCAUCCAUCAUUCCCUAGUUGCUUCUUACAUAUUCCAAAGGCAAUUAGCUCCCACAACUUUGCUGUUAUGUCUAGUGGUUGCUUCAUAAAAAACACCCCAUGCCAACCAACCCCCCUCAAAAUAUUGUGAAGUUUUGAUGCUCUGGUCACAAAGUACAGAUUGUCACACGAACCAAAGUAACUUCUUCCAUUGUCAAUCCAUUUUUCAUGGCAAAGAAAGGAACAUCUUGCUAUCUCCACUUGCUUCACUAUCAUCACUAGACUCAUUGUCCCAAGUGGAAAGUGCUCUCUUCCCUUUAGAUGUACUUUUACUGUUGUUGCUAUUUUCUGCUGCUAUGGUCUUCUACCACCACCACUGCUGCUGCUGCUAAUCUUUUAAUACUGCUACAGCUACAUGUCAAUGCUGCCCAGCCAUAAGGACUGCUGCCCCUGCUCCAUUUGCUCCAAGUCCCACUGCCCACUGUUGGCACUGCCAUGGAUGGCAUUGUUUUGUGUGAAGUGAGCAAGUUGCAAUGUGAGCAGCUAAACCCUAAGAUGAACCCUGGCUUGUCGCUGUCUACUAUGGCAUAGUGCUCAGAUGCUGAGUUGUCCUAAGUGGUUAGGUAUGAAGGGCAACAUGAAAAAGAGAGUAUAUAUGCUAUAUAUGUUAUCAUAUUGUCAUGGUUGGUAGUGAUAUUUUUAAUGUAUUUUUGGUUUGCAUAAGCAAUACCUAGAAUAUACUUAGAUAUUAAAUAGUAGAAUAUCCCAUAAUAUUCAUCUAGAAUAAUCCCUAAACAGUUAAUACUCUAGUUUAUAAAUUCUCUUAAGAAAAUUGGUGAUUAUUAUUUACACAUUCGGGUCUUGCAGAAGUUUUAUUCUACAGCCAUGCUAAGGAAUCUACAUUAAUUCUUGCAAAACAAGUUGGGGAUUGCGUUGGCUGCCACCACAUUUUUAGCACUGUCUUGGUAAGGUGGCUUUGAUACUUUCCAACUUGACUGUGGGUUUUUGUGUGGAUAAGCUCCCUACUUCAAAGAUGGAUUUUCUAGGUCAAAUGUCCAGAAAACCCUUGAGAAUGCUGGCCAAGUUUCAUCAGAACAGUUAUCCUUUGGCAGAGACAAACAAGACAACAUCCUAUCAAGGUUCCAUUCUAAUUUUCAAGCAUCUGAGAAAGUUUUUUAGUUUUUGUUAGCUGCAAGCUGCAAAAUUUUAACUUGGAAGUAAGGACUAUGUUUUCAAGAACAAAAGCUAAGUUUUUUUUCUUUGUUUGAUGAUGUAUGGCCUCUUGGCUCAUUUUCCCCUGGUGGCUGAGUGUUCUUUUGCUCAGGCAAUGGUCAACUGAGAUCUUUGAGCUCGCCUCCAAUGGAACUUUGGACAUGGGAGAUAAUAGUUCUAUUCUCUGUUCCCUGUGCUCUUUGAUCUGGGGCUAAGUUCUCUAUACUUUUUUUUGUCAGACUUGGGAGACUGUCACUAUGGAGCCAAAAAGCACAGACUUUUUUGCAACUUAGAUGCUUUAGGCAUGAAUAGAGCGAGUAUGAAGGCUAGAUAACUGUGGUUAUCCAUGCAAUGGAAGCUUCCCCAUAAGAUCACAGAUGAAGUAAUACUUUUGGAGCUCUGAAGUACUUGCUUAGUUUUUCUUUGUUCAGGUGGACUCACAUAUAUAGGUGUUUGGAAUUUAUCACGGGCUUGCAGUCAUGUGGAAGAACAUGCACAAGUGUCAUUUACAGCCACAACUUAUUACUGGCAUUAGUAAGUACAUAAUAUUCUUGAAUGGUACCUUCUUUUACAGGUGAACUAUGGAAUUCAUGACAGUUGACCAUUGGGAUAAGGUGCUGGGUUUCAAAGCCCAUAAACUCUGAAUAACAUAUGAUAUUUCCAUGGGGUUCCUUGAAGGUAGUGAAGAAAGCUGUAAAAUUCAGGUUUGUCAGCCUCGAAAUGUUGGUAUAGGGAGACUAUAUUAAUAUGAAAAGAACGCAGAGUGGUGGUCAAAGGGUACUCUCAAAUCUUCCCGCGCUAAGAACACAGGAUAAGCAAAGCUGGGCUUUGAAAAUUAUGAUGCCUUUGCAUCUUGGAGUGGAUACCUCUCAUGGAAGAUAUAAAAGAUGGCAGUGGAAUGUAGAGUUUGACUUGAGGCUUGGAAGUAUAGUCUUAAGAAGACUGAACUAUAUCUAUAGGCUCUUGACAUGAUCUUCGCAUGGACCAUAAGUAGCACAAAGCAGAGUAAAAAGAAAUAACGAAAACGAACUUUUACCUCGCGCAAACUGGCUUUGAUCAGUGUAGGAGCUAUGACCACACUUGGAGAAUCAUGUUGGCACAAACUAACAAAGAUAUGAAAGCCAUGCCUCUCGCUUAGGACCUUUGCUGGACUACAAUAGCUCCUAAACGAAAUCGUUGUGUCUGCCUGAGAAUACCUUACACAUCGACGAUCCAGAACUUCUUAGAGCAUAUAAGAAGCUGCUCAUCUUUUUCAAGAAUGCGAUGGACUCGGGCCAACGCACUACACCGCACGUGAGGAAUCUUGAAAGAUUGCAAGAGCCUGUGUCGUAGUAGCUAGAAUCAACUCUGAGAAGUCAAAUGAGAAAAUUUACAUUUGGUCUCAGCAGCCGAUCCAUUUCCAGCAUUAUAUCUUCGAUCUGGCACCCUUUUCUCCCUGGGUAGAGGGACAUCAUGCGAUAUGCAUGCAACAAGUCGUAGCUCCUCAGGUAGCUCGAAAAGCUUUCGCACCUGUGGAUGCAAAAAAUGAGAAGAAAGCCAAGUGAAUAUGAGCAAGCCUAUGUACCAGCUAUGCAUGGUGCCUACGAGCGAGGCCUCGACCAUACACAACGUUGAGAGUGUUGCUAGAGUCCGAUGGAACCACGUUCAUGAUCCACACGGGCUUGUUUUGUAGUAACAAGGCAGCAGCAAAGCCUCCGUAGCCAGCAUUCAUAUCCAUAACGUUCCGAAUGGAAUUUUCGGAUACAUUAAGCAGCUUCCAAUAGUCUCCAACUUUGCCUUCCCAGAGAGAUGUGUCUUCUUUGAAAGAAGAUGAGCUGAUACCUGUGCAAAAGAAAUCCCGUUACCACAUACUGGAGUACAUAGCAAAGUUACCGAGCUGGUUUGAGUAAGUUGUAAGCCGCUCCAGCCAUGAAGGAAGAUCGACGAAAUUGGCAAUCAUUGUCCUCAGACAAGGCAAUGCAGUCGUCCAGUGGCUUGUUCCACGAGUUGUCUAGAAACUCCUUGCUUUGGUUAGCGCACAGCUUGGACUUGGCGAGCUGACAGGACCUGGCGGUCUUUCUCCAAACCACAGUCUGGACGUGCCGUGUGAUCGCCUUCCAGCAAAGAGAUUCUGUAAUGUUGGUCAGGAUGUUCCAAACUUCAGGGAAAUCCUUGUCUUUGCGAUAAGAUGGAGGUGCAGAAUAGAUGAGGUCUUAAAAUCCGGUCCAUUUCCCUGAGCAAAAUACCCCCUGCAGAUUCACAAGAAAGGAAAUUUUUAUAUCAUGUACGAGAUUCCAACUAAUGCUUACCAUCUUCGUGCCAAUCGACGUGACAGCGGGAACAAAGAACAGCAUCGAAGGAUCUGGAAGGAUACGGCAAGCACUUGGUUCCAAGCGCUGCAACAAGAGCCGGUACUCCUCGUUCCAGAGCGAACUGGAUCUGAUUCUCGUGAGAGUCAAGCGGCACAAACGACAUGGUCUGGAUGUCGAGGUUGAAGAGAUAAGCUGCAAAGCUUGCAACUCUUCAGCCAAUGUCCAAACCUCGAGCCACUCCAGCAGUCUGUAAAUCUCCCUUCCAAUCCGUGGUCAUGUUUCCUAGCCUGUCUACACGAAGUUGAUGGAUCAAUGGAUCAAAAGAGAGAAGAAAAGUGUUACCUCUGGAUGUACUCGGGAGCUCCAUGCUUGAAAUGUGUCCCUCCUCCCGGGAACCACAUGGAGCCUUUAACAUGGACCCAGUUCUGGCCACCUUUCACUUUGGCUAGCUGGAUGUGGUUUACGUUGCUCCUCCACAUAUGGGGCCACCCGAUGGGAAGCUUGUUGGACUUUGAUGAAGGAAUAAGGCAGAAAGGAUGCUGGUUUGGUGGGGGUAUUGUUGCUCCAACUGCUCCCUUCUCAAGAAAUUGAGCUUGUUGGAGAUGGAAGCAAUGUAGUUUGCAUGGUGGCAUGGGAUGUAGAGGUUGACUCCAUCAGAAUGUUGAAAUAGCAUUUGGCUCCAUUUUGAGAGUUGGUUCUAGUGUUGGGAUGAUGGAUGCUUUAGGACUGAUUUAAUGUUGCUCCAUACUCUUGCUCCUCUGCUUCUUGGGUUGUAUGUUCGGGAGUCAUUAUGUGCUUCAAUUCCUUCAUUCCUUAGCUAAGACCCUUUGUUCAGUAAGACCAAUUUUUGCUCCAUUAGUUUUAGCCCAUGUGUUCAAGGGAUAAGGUGGUAAAGCACCAAAGGAUAAAGGGUAAAAACUAUAUGCACCUACAUAUCCCUUGAGCUUUCUGAUAUACUUGGAUAGUUGUAUGUUUGAAGUUUGGCUUUUUGGGUUGUAAAACAUAUAAAUUGCCAUAUUGUACUUUAAAGUGCAUAUAUAUAAUUUUCCGUUGUCCUUGGGCACGUGGCGUAACAUGUGACACAUGGCAUAUGGAAGGUUUAGGUUCUGCUUCAUGGUUAUCCUAUAGGAUAAAGGGUGAAAACCACAUGUAUUACAUUUGGUAUUAAAGGAUAUGUCUCAGCAGGUACUAUCAAAUAAGAUUAAGCAACUAGCUUUACGCAAAGAUGAAAAUGAUGAUUCAAGUGGGUACACGUUAAGUGCUAUAACUUUAUAUUCAUUCCUUGGGUAUGGAUUUUUGUUACCUUUGUGCCAUAUUAUGUGAGCUUGUGCUUGGGCUCAUAGGAGGUGUACCAUUUUACACGAGUUUGCACUUAGGCUCAUGAGUGAAGCAUAUUAGCAACUCAAGGUUACACUUUGAGUUGGUAGGAUUAAUGUUGCCUAUUGGUGGUUACCAUAAGUUACUAUAAGUAAAAGUAAACCUUCCCUAGAUUUGCUAUAAGUGGCAAAUAUGCUAGUCUUUAUUUGUUUAGUACUGCACUAGUGGAUCCUUCUUGGGCAUAAUUAAAAAUGGAUUAAUCAAGACUGUAAACAUUAGUCUAUUGGUUUAAGUAAUCAUUGUUGUACUUUCUCAUAAACUUUUUUUAGAUUGGACUGAAGGCAGUGUGAACACAAGCUUGAGGUUUAGUCAAAGAUGAAACUGAAAAAAAAGUUAUUAAGGAUGAAAGAUCAAAUAUGUAAUCAUCUUCUCUGUUUUUGAGAGAUGAUUUGCAACGAAAUGUUAUUCAUUGCUCAUGUUCACAUCAUGCAAUCAAAAAUCCUUACUUUGAUGCAUAUUAGAAAUAAUAGUCUUACAAAUAGUGAAUUUUGAGAUGGAUAGCGGUGUAAUACGAAACCAUUUUUGUCUAGGCUUGCUAUUAAAGAUUUGGGUUAUAAUGCUUAUAUCUUUUCUGGGGAAACUUGUUAUUACUCCUUGAGUAACUUAGUGUUGGAUUAGUUUUGAGUUUGAUAGGAAAAAGAGUAGUAUGAGCUUAUCUAUGUUGUGAACAAAAGUUGGUGGUGUUUGGUGUUAUAAAUUUUUAUAAAGGUUGUCCAUUGAAGUGUUGGAAAGGGUUAUAACAUUCAAUUGCUAUAACUUGUUGGUUUAUUUGUUAACACUUGGAGUAGAUUGUUGGAUGGAAAAAGUGUGUAGUUGAAGCAUUGACAUUGCUAUCACUUGUGUUAAUAGAAGUGGUAUUAUUGUUUCAAAUGAUGAAGAAUUUUCCUUAGGUCUUGAUUUUUCAUGUCAUUUUUUUUGUUAGUGUUUUGGCUUUAUAUUGGAUCUUGAAGGUGAUUGAAGAAGAGUGUUAAUGCAAUACAAAUAUCUAAUGAUAUAGUCUUUAUGAUUAGGUCUUGGGUAUUUUUUUACAUUUUACAGAUGUCGAUGUUGAAUGUUGAAAAUAUAUUUAAGAUGUUUGAUGCUUAGACAUAUUAUUGGGUCAUGAGAAUUUGUGUUGAGGUAAACUUAUGUGAAGUUAUUAAUAGGAAGAAGUUGGUUUAUUUGUAUUCUUAGACUAAAAGUCAUUCUAUCUCUAGAAUAGAAAAAUUUUCCAUAAAUUUUCUUAAAUUUUUUUAAUGACUAAUUUGUUGAUCAUUUUGCUUGAAAACCAUUUCAUUUUUGUAAGCCAGUACAAACUAAUGGAAGGAUUAGAAUUGACUUUAGUUAGCUUAAACCUUAGUAUAUAAUUUGCAUGAUGCAAGUUGAAAAGGAUGUUAACUUUUGGGGCUAAAUAAAUUAAGUUAGAUAUAAUCUAGAGUUGGUGUAAAAAAGUGGCUAUUGUGUUUUUCUAGAAAGGUGACAUUUAUGCUUUUCUUUUAUAACGUUGUACUUGGUGGCAGGUUGUAUCUUGCAUUUCAUUAGACUUUAUGAGAGUAGUGAGCUCUCAUUGAUCUUGACUUGGUCUUAGUAACUUUGUGCUUUGGCUAAAGAUAUUGAUAUCUAACUUAUUUGUUUGAAGUUGAGGUGUUAGUACCUAGACUAUAACUUUGUUUAUCAGGAGGUUGUGUACUAAUAAGAGUCCAUCUUAUGAUCUUUAUUUUAGUUUCAACUGAGUGUUGAUCAUGUAUAGUUAGCCUCUUCAAAGCAUACUUGGAGUGUAAACUCUUAAAUUUGGACUUCUUGAGAGGUCACCUAACCUAAUAAUAUUUAAACCCAAGUAUCGUAAGACCAUUAACCAUUUGAGAAAGGGGGUGCAUUUUUAUUCAUGGGCCCUUUCCCUUUAUAGUUACACUCUAUUGAUCGUCCUUCAAGUCGUUCUCUUUGGUUUUUUACAAUCCACAAUGUUUUUCUGCAAAUUCACGCCCUUAUAAAUGGAAGCUAAGAGCUACAGCUCUCUCAAGGACUUUACUCUUUUAACAUCUUACCCCUUAGGUCGAGCUUAACUAGAGCAAACUGAACUUACCAAAUGUCAAUUAACAUGUUGUGUGAUUCUUCUAAAACAACUAAUAGAAUCCGAUCCGAGACCCUCUUUGAUACCAAAUGUAAACUCCUGAAUUUAGAUUUCUUGGGAAGUCACCCAGUUUAAUACUAUUUAAACCCAAGGAUGUUUAAUCCCAAGUAUCCCAAGACCUUGAACUGAUUAGAAAAGGGGGUGCACUUUUAUUCAUGGGUCUUUUCCCUUUAUAUUUAAAUCCCAUAGAUUAUCUCUCAAGUCGUUCUCUUUGGUUGCUUACAUAAAGUUAUUGACUAUACAUGUUGGUAAAUUAAUUGUGGUUAUGUUGGAUUCAAGUAGUCAUUUAAUCUAUAUUUGUCCAUGUUUUUAUAUCUAGUACCUAAAGUGUAUCUUUCCAUUAGAUAAGUAUAUGAUAUGAUGACGUGAGUUUAGUGUUUGAGUCUUAUAAAGGCAAGUUGAAAAGUGAUUGUUAGUUGCUUUGUAACUAAUGAUUGUUGGUAGACUUCAUCAAGAACUGUUGACACUUGCUUCACUUGGUGAUGAUUUAGUAGUGAUAGAUUUGCUUUACCGGAUUAUAUCAUGGGUUUACAUAGUUUUUCCAUGUCAGUAUGUCAAUUUUUUUUCUUUUGUUGAUAUCAUUUGAUUGUGUUUAGUCUGUAGUGUUGAAUGUGGAAAUGGGGGGCUAUAGGGGUUCCAAAUGUAUAGUACGGAUAGUGGGUAGGUUGGGCAUAGCCGACCAAUUUGAGGCAUAGUCUAGCUCUUGCUUGUAUGUUUGUCCUUGUUCUACAUCCGACUUGUGUCUAAACCCAAGUUUCACACCAUGCUAACUGGUGGAAAACCUAUAUCCUCGUGUUAUGCCACCGGUAUGCUAAAAUAGCACCAAACUCCAUUUGGCUCCAUUUUGCGUGCUGGUCUUAGCAUUGAGAUGUUACAUGCUCUAGGACUGUUAUAAUGUCACUUCGUGCUUCUAUUCCUUCACUCUUUGGGUUGAAUGCUCAAGAGUCACUCCAUACUUUAGCUCUUUCACUCCUUGGCUGCAACCUUGGGAGUUUGGCUUUGUUCCUUAUUCAGUGGCCCAAGGCCUUAAAACUUGGGUUCCACUCCACUAUCUUUAGGGACACAUGGCAUGUGGCACAUAAAGGGUUUAAGUUUUGCUUCAUGGUUAUCCUAUAGUAAAUCACCAUAAAAUAAAGGGUGAAAACCACAUGCAUUACAAUCCAACUUUGGAAAUAAACUAAUAAGCAUCUACUAUUACCUUUUUAUCCUCAUUACACCUCCCUCACUUUUGUCAAUGUCUCACUCUCUUUGUCUUUGAGAAGACUACUAUUUAGUAAGGAGUGUGUUCAAGAAUAAGCUAGAUCUAAAGAUGGUAUCAAAUAGAUUAAGGUUAUUGGGAUAAGGAGGCACAAAAGAAUGUUAUCCUCUAGAGGCUUUAAAUUUGGGUUAAUAAAGAUGCUAUAUUACAAGGUAAAAAGGUUGGAGUAAUAACAAGCAAUAGCUCCUUAUGCAAUCUCUCGGAGCUUCUUAUAAGAGUUUCUAGCUUUAAACCAAUUAUAUAGCUAUAGAACUUUUGAAUUAUACUUAAAAUGAGGUCCAGAAAGGUACGCACGAUGGUACAUAAAUAUGUAUAGCGGGGCACACUAGUUAUAGGGAGAAUUAUGGCAAAAAUUAUUUAGCAAUCCACGAGUCUUGGGAAGUCUCAACAUCAUUGAUCCAAGUGACAUGGCAAAAGUGCUAUGUUACAAAAUUCUCUUAACCAAGUAACCAGCCGUGGAGGUUUAUGUUUAGGCAAAGUCUACUAGUGAUCUAGCCCAAAUAUAACACUACAAGACAAUAGAUGGAGGAUUUGCAUUUGCUCUUUGCUGAAAGGCCAAAAUAAGUGGUCAAGGGAGGCACGCUAGUUCAAGGGAUUCUCAGGUUGUGAAGUAAAUUUCCAAUCAGUUGAGAGAUGUUACGUUAGGUUGAGGACUAUUUGAAUUAGCCUCUAUUCUUUAACAAUUUUUUCAAAGUGGAUAGCAAGACAUUCUGUAGGGAAGAGCACUACAUGCUAUGGAAAAAGCUAUAUAUUGGUGGCUUUUGAACUCUUAAGCAAUUCGUGGGGGUGUUGAGGGAUGUGAAGAAAACAAGGAGUAUACAAAUUUUCAACCCAUAAUAGUGGAGGAAGGUUCAUUUGGAUCUUCUUUGCAGCAUCCGAGGCAAAAAAGAGGCAGCCUUGGCCAAAAUGAUAUCUCAAACUUAAGGACUUUGUGACGUUGCAAUAUGACAUAGAAUUGGAUAGGGAACAAAUUAAAUUCAGAGCUUGGAUAUGGGCAUUUAUGGCCCCAACACUAACCUAAGGGGAUGGCAAUAUGAAAGUAUGGUUUGUUGUGUUUUUAGAACAAAAUAUUAGUUAUCCCUGUUAGGUUGUGCAAGGCAAUAUGUUGCUACUGACAAAUGACAAGGAGGUUAUGCCACUAGUGAUAGAUAAGGAAGUCAAAGGGGGGAAUUAAGUGGUGCGAUAGGCCCUGAAACAACUGAUAGUGACAGCUAUGCUUGAGGGGGACAAUAUUUUCGCUUCUUCUUGUUUGAAGUCAAUAAAGCACAAGAAGGUCUCUUGACAAGCAAGGAAGAGGUCUCUAGGGAGAUCCAUGAGCUAUAGAAGAAGGGGAUCAAACAAGGAGUCAAGGCAAAUUAAGUGGUGGACAACAUACUUGCAUUUUGAAAACUAUUGGUGUAAGAGAAGGUCAAGACCACCUUUUAAUUGGUGGCAAACAAUGGGUUACCAAUUGGACAGCAAUUCUAGGAAGAAAUAUGCCAACAGUGCAAGGAGUAUGGCAAAUUAAAGAUAGUGCAACUUGUUAUGUGGGAAUGCAAUGUGGCAAAAGAGGUAUGGUGAUAAAUUUUGAAGGCAGUGCAUGAACUAAAGGAUGUUCCAGAGUUUAAAGCUAGAAAGGGGGAUGUUCUCCACUGGCUCAAAAGAGCAAAAGGUCCAACCAUUAGUUUAGCUUAGAGACAUAUUUGAUGUUAAGGACAAUAUAGAUGGGGUAUGUAAGUUCAAUGGGACAAGACUGGAGUUGAAGUCUUUAUGUUGGUGUGGGAGGCAAUGGGCCACGAGCACUGAGCUACUAGAUAGUGAUAGAAGUGCAAGCACUUUGGGAGGUGCAUAAUCACUACCAUUUUGGCAAACAAUAAGCAAGGAUUUCUGUAGUGGUGACCUUGUGGUGGAGACUUACUCUUGUUGUGGUAUGCCCCCACUAUGCCAUCCUAAAAAAAUGGGUGACUAGAGGGGUGGAGGAACAAAUACCUCCUGUGUUUCAGGAAAGUGGACAACAAUAAGAUCCUUUGGCAGUGGUGCCCCCUUGAUUUUGUUUUACAUUUGGCUUGGGAGGGGGACAUUUGGAUAUCAACAUAAUCCAAAAGAAACAACUACAACCUCUUUUACUUCAAGAUUACAUUUGGUUGAGACACAAGACUAUCACAUAGAGUAGCCAGUUGAGAGAUGUAGUUUUUAUAUUAGUCCUUCUGGGAUAUGGAGAAUGUACAUACUUGUGUGCCUAAUCUUGAAUCAUUAUUAGAGUCUAUGUAGUAUGAGUUAAGAUGUAAUAUGCCCUCCCUUAGGUGAUAAUUUAGAUUCUUAUGGAAUAAUUUACUAUACUAAUUUUUUUAAAAUAGUGCUUUAUUACUUUUUUAUUAAUUUUAUUUAAAAAUAUUUUUAAUGAAAUAACAAUUUUGACUACAAAUAUUUUAAUAAUUAUAUAAAAUGAUAAUAUAAUUUGUUUAAAUUUUCAUUUAAAUAAAAAAUAAUUAAUAAAUUUUUAAUAUAAAGGAAUGUGCUAUAUUAUCCUGUAUUUAUAAUAUUCUUUAAUGAACUAUAAUGAUGGAGUUUAAUAUAACCAUGUCCAUGGUUGAAGCUCUAGACUAAGCUCUAGUGGCCAGAAAUAUUAUAUAAUUCCUUACUUUGAUUCUUUAUAUAAGAGUUGCAUGUGUUAAGAGUUGUAAAUAUUAAGCAAGAUGCUGAAAAGUAGAGGCAAAAGUUCAAGUAUAAUUGUUGAGAAAGAGGAGUACAGGAAAGCUAGAACCCUAAAGCUACUCAUACACCUAGAGCAUUAGUUGAGCUGCUCACAUAUCUAGAGCAAAGAAUAAACAUGAUUUUUAUUAGUGAUAAUUAAGAACAAUAAUAUUAAACUUUAAUUAGCAACAGUUUACCUUGCUUCUGCUUGGAGAUAGUACCAAUAAAUUUAACUACCUUGCCUUUUCUUAUUGGCCUCUUAUGCAUCUCUAUAGGAAUAGUCUCACUCAUGUCUCAAACUCUCCUCUCAAGAUUGAAACCAAAUUUCUCAAGGUUUUCAAUCUCAUUUGAGGUGAAUAUGACCCCAUUAGCAACUGACAAUUCUUUAAGUAUUGCAUCAGGUUUAGUUACUAUAGUGUUUUCAAGUUAUUUUAUAUAGUUGGCAUUGGUGUUGCAGCAAUAUAGCUAGCACCAUCUCAAAAAUCCUACUUGCUUUCGUUCCCCAUAAAAACAUGGGGUUGGAACAAAAGCAAACUUAUUACCACAAAUCUAAGUUUAACAUUUGUUGUUCAAAAGCAUCCCCACACACCUUAUAUUAGAUUUUAUUGGCACUUGGCAAAUUAUCUAUUGUCUCGGUUUUAUAUUAUGGUAAGUGAUUUUAACUUGUUGUGAUGCACUCUCUUCAUUUGUAGUGCACAUGGUUUUCACCCUAAACAAAACCUAAACAUUCUAUAGGCCAUGUGUCAUAUACCAUGUGUUUAAGGACAACAAAGCAGAACCCAAGUUUCAAUGCCUUAGGCCAAUGAAUAAAGGAACAAAGAUAAACUCCCAAGCUUGUAGCUAAGGACCAAAGGAACUAAAGCAUAGAGUAACUUCUAAGCAUUCAGCCCAAAGAGCAAAAGAAUAGAAGUAUGGAGCGAUAUUGAAAUAGUCCUAAAACUUUUAACAUCCUAAUGCCAAGACCAGCAGACAAAAUGAACCCAAAGGGAGUCUAGCCCUAUGUAAGGAACCAACUCCCUGAGGUGUCGUAGGCUAAAGGAUCCCCAAAAGCAUGACCAACAUGAUAGAGAGUUCAUCGGAUGGGACCGAGUCUGAGAUCGAGUCCAAGACUGACUCUGAGACUGAGUUCGAGAUAGAGUCUAGGAUCGAGUCCGAGGCUGACUCGGAGAUCGAGUUCGAGACCGAGUUCGAGACAGAGUCCGAGAUCCGAGAUUGGGUCCGAGACCAAGUCCGAGGUCGAGUCCGAGAUUGAGUCCGAGAUCGAGUCCGAGAUUGAGUCCGAGACCGAGUCCGAAGUCGGGUCCGAGUACUAAUACAGGUCAAGGGGUGAAAGCCCAAAGCGUGUGUCUCCCCGGGGGGGGGGGGGGGGGGGGAACUCUCUAGGGGGGCUUGCAAACUGACUUGAGGUUGAAACUGGGGCCCAGUGGCCUUGGGUGGGAGUGAGCAUGGACUCGGGGGGGGCCCAAGGGGCCCCCCCAGGAAGUGUUCCAGAGUAGCUCCCCCUUCCGAAAGGGAAACUGACUACGGGGCUCCCGAGUCAUGGGGAAUGGGGCCCCCCUUAAGUACCUUAUGGCUCAUUAGGCUUCAUCCUUCCCAGGGGUUUGGACCUUCCCUUUGGGAUGGAAAUGGGGGGGGGGGGGGGGGGGGGGGGGCGCUAGAGGUACCCAUACUGGGCCGUUAGGCCAUGGUGUUUCGCCCUGGUGUUCCGAAGCAUGUGUUGCACCCAAGGAUUGGGAUUUGGGAUUUAAAGGGUCCCAUGAUCAAGUCUUAUGGUACCAAGGGAUGCUAGGAACUUAGAGGCUUGGUGUGCUUGGCUGCUUGUGCCUGCGGGGAGUGUAGCUGAACUUUAAGUCCAGUCUAACCCGAGGAGGGGGAUUGGGAGAGAUUUGGGAAUCCGUGGAUGGAUGGCUAAUGCUCUGUUGCUCGUGCAGUGAGUAGCUGAAACCAAGUAGGACCGAGUAGGAGCUGGUACCAUAGGCAGGAACCUUGGCAAGGGAACUUAGCUAAAGCCAAGGCAGUGUUAGUCAGACAGACAAAGUAAGUUGGCAAAUUGGAAAGGAAAAAUUUGUGGCUUACAAUUUGGUAUUAGAGCCUUUUCCUCAGUUAUAGCAAAGGAUAAAGGCAGAUUGUUGGGAGAUGGCAAAAGCAGGGUGGAAACGAACCAAGGCGAAGAUGGAACCUCCUUUAGAGCUGAAGCCUCCAGUCGAACAAGAGGCUAUGGAUGAGGAAUCCUUGCAUGAGGAGGACUCCAGUGAGGAAACUUCCAAACAAGAGUCCAGUGGUGAGGUUCGGUCAUCCAAGGCUCAAUUGGACGUUCUAGAAGGACAAUUGGCACAGACCAAUGCCCUGUUGGAGACUCUCGUACGCAAGCUAAAGCGUGAUGAGAAGCGGAAGAAAAGGCAAAAGACUGCAGAUGUUGGUAGCGCAGAAGGUGCAGACCCUUCGGCAGAGACUGAGGCAAAACUAAAUAAGGUCAAACAGACCGAAGUGGAAUCAGUCCCUCAGGCAGUUCCCAAGUACAAACCAAAGCCCCCACCGGUCUUCAAGGGAGUGAACGACUAUAAAGUGGUGGAGGAUUGGUUUUAUGAUAUGGAGGACUACUUCCGAGCGUUGCAGUUACCAAGCUCAGAGAAGGUCCCAUGUGCAAAACCAUACUUAGCAGAUAAUGCCAAGUCUUGGUGGAGAACAACAGAGGUCAAUGAAGGACUGGUGGCCACUUGGGAAAUGAUGAAGGCGAGGAUCCAUGCGACUUACGUUCCUCCGAAUGCUACUCUGCAUCUAAGAAACGAGCUGAGUAGGCUGAAGCAGACCAGAACCAUUCAAGAGUAUGUGAAUGGGUUUAUGACAAAGAGGAUACUUGUCAUGGACAUGGGGGAUAUGGAUGCAUUCCAUGCCUUCAUAUCAGGCUUGCAAACCUGGGCUCACGGUGAGGUGAUGUGUUGGAACCCGACCAACUACAAGGAAGUGUUAGAUGCGGCCAUCAAGGUGCACUUCAACGAUAACCUGCGAAAGGGGAACACAAUAGGGUCGAGGUCCACGUUUAACAAAGGGGCCAAACCAAGGGGAAUGUAUAGCAAGGGAAAUUCAAGAAGAGUUUCUCUAAGAAUGAGUCCUCGUGGUUCGAGAAAGGCAAAUCCGGCAGUUAGCGAGCAAGUAUGUGGGGGAGUCAAGCAAAAAGAGACAAACCCACGGAUAAGAAGGUCAAGUCGAUUAGUAGCGUGGGAAACAACUUAUGCUAUAACUGCAGUGAAACGGGACACUUUUUGAGGGAAUGUCCCUACCCGAAGAAGGUCAAAGCCAAUAUGACCAUUAAGUUGGGUGAAAUCUAAACUAAGGUAUGUGAUCUAGUCCUUAGCUCAAAGUUACUCAUUACACAAGCAACUUUGGUAGAGAGUCGUUCGCGACAUUUAUUAGCCCUCCGAGGGAAGCUCGGAGGUAGCUUUGUUAAGAUCCUUAUUGACACGGGUGCUUCAGAUAAUUUUGUGGCUGCAGACAUAGUGUGGCAAGCCGGACUAACGGUGCAGCAGCUGGGCGAACCAAGGACUAUAGAGUUUGUUCAAGGUAGCCAAAGCACCGAUGAGGUACGUCGACAGGCGAGAGUCAAAGUAAGGACAUAGAAAGUAGACAUGGAUUUCACCGUGUUGGACAUGGUGGGAUUUGACGUGAUCUUCGAGAUGGAUUGGUUCAAUCGGUUCGUGGUAGCCCUACAUGGACAAGGUAGGAACCUUGUGGUACUAGCGAAUGCCCAAGGAAGAAAAUCCAGGAUGGACGCUUAGGAUCUAAAGGUAGGGCAGUGCAAGGCCAAAGAUUCCUGCCUAAACCUGGUGUCCAUGAGAGGAUAACUCACUAAAGGAACCAAGGCAACAUUUUUGUGCUUACUCUCGGUGAAGAGUGACAAAAAAACAGGAACGGAAGAAGUACCUUUAGUGAUCCAGCAGAUGUUAGACCAAUUCCAAGAUACCAUGCCAAAGGAGCUACCGGUGGGGUUGAAGUGGUUGAUAGAACAUAAGAUUGAGCUGGUUGAGGGUGCUGAGGCGAUGGUUUGUUCCCCUUAUCGUUUGAACAAAAAAGAACUCGAGGAGCUCAAGUGCCAACUAAAGGAGUUGGUGGACAAAGGGUAUGUUAGGUUGAGCAAGUCACCAUAUGAGGCACCGGUGCUAUAUGUGAAAAAGAAAGAUGGAUCUAUGCGCAUGUGCAUAGACUACCAGUUACUCAACAAAUAUACAAAGAAGAACAAGUACCCUUUGCCAAGGAUUGAGGACCUGUUCAAUAGGUUGGGAAAGGCAAAAUACUUCUCGAGGAUUAACCUAAGGUCAGGAUACUACCAGAUUAGGGUAGCAGAGGAAAAUGUCGAGAAGACAACCUGUCGAACAAGGUAUGGGAGUUUUGAGUUUCUGGUGAUGCCCUUCGGGCUAUGCAAUGCGCCGGCAACAUUUUUGGUGUUGAUGAACCAUAUCUUUGUACCCUAUCUGGAUCACUUUGUGGUCGUCUAUAUUGACGACAUCCUGAUCUAUAGCGAAACACUAGAGGAGUAUACCAAACACUUUACGAAAGUGUUUGAAAAACUAAGGGAACACCAGCUAUAUGCUAAAGAGAGCAAAUGUGACUUUGCUCAACAAGAGGUAAAGUUUCUCGGGCAUGUGGUGAGCAAGGACGGGCUCAAGGUGGACCCUGAGAAGGUCCAAGUGAUCCAGGAUUGGGAGCGACCAUCGAAUGUACACGAGUUAAGGGCAUUCUUGGGGCUAUGCAACUACUACCGAAAGUUUAUCAAACACUAUUCGAGAGUAACCCUACCCUUAACGGACUAAACAGGAAAAGGGAAGAUAAUAUAGACAGCCGAAUGCGAGACAACAUUUGUCCACCUCAAAGGGAAAUUAAGGAAGGCCCUCAUGUUGGCGUUACCAAACUUUGGUAAGGACUUUGAGGUAGAAACAGAUGUUUCAGAUUUUGCGUUAGGCGCAAUUUUGAAGCAAGACAACCAUUCAGUAACGUUCUUCUUGAAGAAGUUGAACAUGGCUCAACAGAAAUAGCCUACCCACGAGAAGGAAUUGUUUGCGGUGGUCAAGGGGCUCAAGGAGUGACGACACUACCUUGGGAGACACUUCAAGGUUUACACGGACAAUGUGGCAAUGAAACACUUCUUGUCACAACUCGACCUGAGAGGGAAAUAGGGUCAGUGGGCCAAUGCUUUAGCCGAGUUUGAUUGCAAGAUUCUGUACAAGUCUGGGAAGAGCAACAUCAUGGCGGAUGCACUAAGUCGAAAAGCGAGCUUGAAGUUGGCGAUAUCCAGCGCGACCGCAACUUUUUGGGAUGAUGUGCGGACAGCAUAUGAGAACGAUGGUCUAUUACAAGAAGUGUUGUUGAGGAAUCUAGAGGCACAGGAAGCUCAUUAGAGAAGUGAGCUACCAACGGAAGAGAAAAUGGGCUAUGUGGAACGCAAUGAAUUCAUCUAUUACAAGCAAAUGAGGGUGUAUGUUCCAGAAGGGGAACUAAGGAAGGUAGCCUUAGAAGAGUGUUAUGACGAACCUCUUGCGGGACAUGGCAGAGUGCCCAAAACGAUGGGCUUACUCAAGAGGAAGUACUACUGGCCAAAUAUGGCUAAGGACGUCCAAGACUAUGUAAAGAUAUGUCCAACAUGUCACAGGUCAUAGCCGUGACUAAGGCUAGUGGGGGUUUGUUACAAAGCAUCCUAAUUCUAAAUCGUCCGUGAAAAUGUCUUACGAUGGACUUCAUCACGGGACUCCCUCCAAGUGAGGGGUUUGAUGCGAUAUUCGUGGUGGUGGACUGAUUUUCGAAGAUGGCACAUUUCAUACCCACCACAACGGAAGUGAAUGAGGAAGGUGUGGCGAAGCUGUUCUUCAAACAAGUGGUUCGAGUGCAAGGAAUGCCAGAGGAGAUCAUCUCAGACCGAGAUAAGAUCUUCACUAGCAGGUUCUAGAGAACUCUCCUGGAACAGUAUUACACCAAGUUGAAAUUCAGCACAGCCUAUCACCCACAGACAGGUAUUGGGUAUUAAGUCAAGUUGGAUGGCACUAACACUUCUUGACAAAUGGACAAACAGAAAGGGUGAAUAGGCAACUUGAGGAUUAUUUGCAAUGCUAUGUCUCCAGAGACCAAAUUGAUUGGGUAAGUCAUUUGGGACUUGCAGAAAUGUGCUAUAACAACUCACCACACUCAAGUAUUAGGGUGAGUCCAUGGGAAGUCAUCAAUGGGCGAGCUAAUGAGUCAGGAAUGUGGUCUACAGGUCAGGAAUCCGGCGAGAGUCAGGAAUGUGGCAAGAAUUGGGGGAUUCCUGACAGCACCCCCUCCUCAAGAACGAGUGGAACGAGGAUGUGAACGAGAACGAAGAGGAGGAUGAGAUGAGCGGCGAGGGAUGGGAGAUGGAGAAAAAGAAUGAGGACUGGGACGAGAAGGAUAGCGGCAGUGGAAGUCCUGAACAAGGUCAGGAGAAUGAAUCAGGUUGUCCGCAGGUUCCCAAGUGCGUUCCUCAGGUCCGUAACCCUUCCAGUCCACCAGAUAGUAGAGUUUAGACCGUGAAAUCUUGGAAUCAAGGAUGUCCUGAACCUCGUACUCAGACCCAUCCUCGAGCUGCACUGGUGGAGGCGGAGGAAUGACCCGAUUUGGAAUAGGACUGGGAAUAUAAGGCUCAAGGAGAGAGGAGUGAAAAAUGGGGUGAAUUUGAUAUGAGGAGGGAAGUGCAAGGCGAUAAGUGACAGGAUUAAUGAUGGCAGUGAUAGGGAAAGGACCAAGGCGUUUGAAAUCGAGUUUUGGACAGGGCCUGGUGGUGGAGAUAUUUCGCCUGAGGAGCCAGACUUUAUCCCCGAUAUUGUAAGGGGGACAAUCCUGACGAUGGACAUUGGCAAAUGUUUUAUGAGAUUCCUGAGCACGAUGGAGGUGGAAGGAGAUGGAGUUGUGGAUUUCCUGGAGGUUGGAGAUAAAUGCCUCAGAGCGGGGAUUUGAAUGAGAGGAUUCAGAUGGAGAAGGAAGUGAGAGAUUGAAUCAGGGAUUUUGGCCAGAGUUUGCAAAGAAGGGGGAAACUCGAAGAGAGGAGUGAACAGAGUUGUUAUAGGAGAACUCAGCAAGGGGAAGGAUAUCGAACCAGUUAUCCUGAUGAUAGUUGAUGAAGCACCUCAAGAAUUGUUCCAACGUCUGAAUCGUUCGCUCGGACUGCCCAUCAGUUUGAGGAUGAUAUGCCGAAGAGAGGUUGGCCUUCACUCCAAGCAGCUGCAAAAACCGUUGCCAGAAAUGAGAGAUGAACUGAGGCCCCCGAUCCGAAACCACAUCUGUAGGAAUCCCAUGAAGUCAGAAAAUUUCCCUGAAUACCAGUUUUGCCAUGUCCUCGCCCGAAAACUCCUUGGUACAUGGCAAGAAGUGUGCCAUCUUUGUGAAGCGAUCCACCACGACUAAAAUGCUGUUGAAGCCUCCAGAACUCGGAAGAUCACUCAAGAAAUCCAUGGAGAUGGAUUCCCAAGGACCUGAAGGGACCGGAAGGGAACGAAGCAAACCUGAAGGAAGGUGGUGAGGUACCUUAUUCCGGGCACAAGUGUCACAGGAGGUAACAAAAGCUUUGAUGUAGUCGUCCAUGUGAGGCCACCAAAAGUCCCGUGCAACUAGCUCAUAGGUUUUCGCAAUGCCGAAGUGACCAGCAGUCGGGCUAUCAUGGCAUGCCAUCAGGACCAACCUUCGAGCAUCACCUUCAGGAACGUAAAGCUACUCCCCACGGUACAAUAAGCCAUCUAAGAACUCGAACUCGUCAAAUUGCCGGCAGUCGGGAGUCAUUGGGUGUCCAGCCUGAAGAUGGGGGAAAAUGUCGCUAGCGAGAUCAUCGGAUUGAAGAUCGUUUCUGAUUGCAUCCAUCAAGGAGGAGUCCUGAGGGGCCAGGGAAAUUGCCAUAACGUGAAGCCGAUCAGGACCGAGGAUAACUUGAUCCUAUUGAUCGAAGGCAGGAUUACCAGGCCUGAGACUGAGAUAAGAGCGCCUUGAAAAAGCAUUAGGAAGGCCUUGAAACUUUCCAGGUCUGUACUUGAUAACAAAGUCAAACCGACUCAGGAAUUGUGCCCACCUUGCUUGACGACGGCUUAAAACUCGGGAAGUGGCAAAGUACUCGAGAUUUUUGUGAUCCGUCCAGACAGUUGUUUGAUGGCUCGCCCCCUCCAAGAAACGGCGCCACUCUCCAAAGGAAUCCACGAUGGCAAGGAGCUCCUUGUCGUGGAUUUCGUAAUUGAUCUCCGCAGGUUGGAAUUUUCGAGAAUGGAAAGCGACCGGAUGAAGUUCGUGAUCUGCUCCGAGUUGAGACAGCACAGCACCAAUGGCAAAGUCGGAGGCGUCAGCCUUGAUGAAGAAAGGUUGUGAGGAAUCAGCAUGGAUCAAGACAGGAGCAGAACUGAAGGCUGCCUUGAGUGUGUCGAAGGCCUGCUGGGCAGCAGCAGACCAAGAGAAGGGAACAUCCUUGCGAGUGAGAUGUGUGAGAGGAAGGACAAUGUCAAAGUAGUGAUCAAUGAAUUUGCGGUAGAAGUUGGCGAAGCCAAGGAAAACCUGAACGUCCGACAUUGAUUGUGGAGGCUCCCAUUCGAGAAUAGUCUUGACUUUGGCAGGAUCCAUCGUGAUACCCUCAGGAGUGACAAUGUACCCAAGGAACUCCACAGACUGCUGAUCAAAGGAACAUUUCUCAAGCUUUGCGUAUAGGCUGUGUUCUCGCAACUUCGCUAGCACCUUGCGUACAUGUCCGUCAUGCUCCUCCUGAGUUUUUGAGUAGAUGAGGAUGUCAUCGAGGUAGACGAUCACCAUCUGAUCAAGAAACUCCCGAAAGACGUCGUUCGCCAUGUGUUGGAAAACUGCUGGAGCAUUUGUCAAGCCAAAUGGCAUGACAGUGUACUCGAAGUGGCCAUAGCGGGUUCAGAACGCAGUCUUCCAUUCAUCACCAGGCCGGAUCUGGAUCAGGUUGUAUGCUCCACGGAGGUCAAUCUUGGUGAAGAAGCGGGCACCGCCGAGGCGUUCCAACAGGUCCGAGAUCAGGGGCAGCGGAUAACGGUUCCGAACAGUCACCUUGUUCAAACCUCGGUAGUCGAUGACUAACCGCAAGCUCCCAUCCUUCUUCUUGACAAAGAAGACAGGCACUCCAGCCGGGGACUGCGAAUGCUGAAUGUAGCCCGAGGCAAGGUUCUCAUCCACGUACUCUUUGAGGGCCUUAAGCUCAGACGGGGAUAACCCGUAGAUAGGCCCCCACGGAGGUGACGCUCCUUCCUGUAAAUCAAUGGGACAAUCAUAAGGCCGAUGAACAGGCAGUACACUAGCUUUUUUCUUGUCAAACACAUCCCCAAAAUCAUGAUACUUCUCAGGAAGACUGACAGGAGAAACAUGCAAAGCAAAAAGAAAAAGAGGUUCUUCAUGAAGGAGUUCUUUCAUAGUGAUUGUGGAGAUAGGAGGAGGCGUACGACUAAAUGGAAUGAUGAGACGAGGAUACGGUCCAGUGUAAGAUGGAAGAGAGGAAAAAGAAGAGGGUGAAAACUUUAUAGAGUCAGGAAUAGAACCCCAAUUUGAGUUUAGGGAACUUUUCCUGAUUCGGACUCGAUGAACAGCAGGGGAAGCCGUGGGAGAGAUGAGCUGUAAUUCCUUCCAACAGAUCUGAGGCUGAUGUAGUUGGAACCAUGGAAGACCGAGCACCACAGAGGAGGACUUGCUGUUGAUGAUGUUGAAGGCGAUAUCGGUGACAGUGGACCCGAUGUGUACUCGAACUGGCAACGUUUCCCUAAGUCCAGAAGAUGGAGACACAAAAUGCCCGCCGAUGCCUUCAACCCUCAAAUCCCGUAUGGUAGGAGAAAGAGGAACGUGAUGUCGGGCAGCAAAGUCCGUGUCCAUGAAGCAGGAAGUUGCACCUGAGUCCAGUAACGCCAAAGCCUUGAGUCCUGAUUGUCCGGUGAAAGAAAGGAGACAUGGGACGCGGAAGUUGCGGGAAUUGGUGGUGGCUUUGAUGAAAGGUGGUGAGGAGCUUGAUAAAGAAGAAAAGUGAUUUUUAUUCGGGGAGUCCAAACAGACAACUCCUACUUUGUUUGGACAGGGUCGUUUCCCGACUGCAAUAGAGGUGGACUUUGAGGCAGAGUGAACUCGAGCAGUCGAGGAGGCUUCUUGGGACAUACAGCUGCUUUGUGAUUAGGAUCAGCACAAUAGAGGCAAAGAUUAUGAGAUAUUCGACGUUGCUUCUCAGCAGGACUCAACUUCCCUCUAAUGAGUCGGGGAGUACCAGAAAUAUCCAUCGGAACCGGAGUAGUAGGUUCAGGAGUAUGCCCCGAAGACUCAAGCUGGGAUUCCUGAGUCUGGGACGGAAAAACAGCGGCGCGGCGACUUUCCUGACGACGUUCAAAGAGACGAUUGUCACAUCGAACAGCUUUGUUGAUGGCAUCCGACAGGUCCUUGGGAUCCUCCAUGGUGAGCAACAAAUCCUUGACACCGUUGUUGAGGCCGAAACGAAAUUGGUCAAUCAGGGCUCGCUCAUCCCACUGAGUGUCCAAGGCAAGGAGUUGGAACUCUGCAGCGUAGAUUGAGGCAGGACGAGACCCUUGAGAGAGCCGUCUCAUCUUUGUGGUAGCAGCCCGAACCUGAUCCGUCUCGCCAAAACAUACUUCGAGCUUCUCUUUGAACAAUUGAAGAUCCAUUAGCUCCGGAACCACGACCCCUUUCAUGCUCUUCUCCAGAAGAGGAGAAAACCAUGACAAAGCUGCACCCUCGAGCAAUGUCCCAAUCGCGCCGAUUUGAGACUCGGGAGUGGGGUACCGCCGAUGUUGAAGUGCAAAGAUCAGCUCCAUUUGGUUCAAAAAUCCACGAAGCUCCAAACGCUUGCCUGAAAAUUUCGCCGGGAAACUCACCUUCGGUUCAGGAACUUUGCUGGAUCCUUGAGCCGAAAGUGAAGCAAGCUCCUGCUGCAUGCGAAGAAGGGUCGCCUUCAGCUCGGUAUUCUCAGACUGGAUUUUUGCAAGGACUUCGGCAAAGAAAUCAGGAUGGCUUGGAGACUCCAUUGGCAAGAAGAAAGAAAAGAAAGGGGGAAAAAGACAAAGGCAAUCAAAUAAUCAAAACAAGCUAAAAGAAAAGCAAAAACCACAAUCUGAAUCAAACUGUCAAGACCCCCAACAAGAUCAAGACUGGAAAAUGCUAAAGACAAAGAGAAAAAGCUAGUGAAAACAAAGAAGAAGCCUUAGACUGGUGUUGAUUCAGAUUGUGGAGAAAUGGAACAAGGCUAACCUAUAUAUACUAUAGGUUGAUGAAGCUCCACCACUCUUGGAUCGAGGACGGCCUAAAUAUAGCUGAGGUCGAGGAGGCACCACAUCAUCAUCAGGAAUGUGGCUCGAGACUCAGGAAUCGGGAGUGUCUCGAGAGUCAGGAAUAGGGAAGUGUCUCGAGAGUCAGGAAUGUGGUCUGCAGGUCAGGAAUCCGGCGAAAGUCAGGAAUGUGGCAAAAAUUGGGGGAUUCCUGACAAUCAAUGGGCGAGCUAUUGAAGGUCCUAUGGAACUCAGCAUGGCCGAGUAUCAUGAAGAGUUACCCACAGUGGAGGCAUUCAUGGCGGAAAGACUCAACAUUUGGAAUCUAGUGAGGGAUUCCUUAGAACGGGCUCAACAAAGGCAAAUCAAGUAUGCAAACCAAAAGCGUCGGGACGUAGAGUUCCAACCUGGGGAGAAGGUGUGGUUGAACACCAAGAACCUAAGGUUACCAAGUGGGAUCAGUCGGAAGUUGACGCAAAAGUGAGAUGCAUGUAUUCUUAGAAAUGAGUUGAUCUUGAGUUCUUUAAGCAGGUUCGUGGGGCCUUCCGAGAUUGAGGCACAAAUUGGUAAAGUGGCUUACCGCCUCUGACUUCCUUGAGAGAUGGGGAAGAUGCACCUAGUGUUCCAUGUGAACCUACUCAAGCCGUACUUUGAGGAUCUGCUUCGUAAGGACCAAAUGAGAUCUUUACCUAAGGUUAUCCAAAGGGAAGAGGAAUACGAAGUGGAGGCCAUCCUCAAUACACGCAAGAGCAAGCGACAAGGAUGUGAGGUGAGAGAGUUCCAUGUGAAGUGGAAAGGAUUUCCAUAUUGCGAAGCAACAUGGGAACCGAAGGAGAACCUAGCGAAUGCACGAGAUCUAGUGGAGGAAUUUCUGCAAGGCAGAACUCUAUGUACUUAUGCAAAGUUCAAUUAAAGUAUCAAUUUGUGAAGUUGAGCAAUGACAUAUAUUGGGACCCAAAGGCGCGCUAAAGGUAAGCUAAUUAGCAUGGGUUAGCUAGGUCGACCAGGCGUAAAGAACUAUGCUCGACUCCCCACAGGGAUGUCGAAUCCGUAGACGUAUUCUAGGGAGGUUGGGUUCAAAUCCCAACGCCCUAGUAAAGCAAGGCUAGGUUCAAGUCCCAACCCCAUACUAGGGCGUGGUGGGGUGAGGGGUAUAGGGACACCUAUAUUUCGUAGUCAUGGGCUCUUGGCCAAGGAGGUUAACUUAAGCACACUGCUAAAUGGGGGGAUGCCCCUGAAAACAUGGUCAAUAAGUCGUAAGAUAAAAAGAGACGUUCGAUGAGGGCAUCGAACUUCUUCUAUGGGUAGUGGAGUUGUAAGGAACCAACUCCCCGAGGUGUCGUAGGCUAAAGGAUCCCCAAAAACAUGACCAACAUGACAGAGAGUUCAUCGGAUGGAACUCUCUAGUGGUGCUUCCAAACUGACUUGAGGUUGAGACUGGGGCUGAGUGGCCUUGGGUGGGAGUGAGCAUGGACUCGGGUGGUGCCGGAGGGGCCACCCAAGGAAGUGCUGAAGAGCAGCUUCCACUCCCAAAAGGGAAACCAACUACGGUACUCUCGACUCAUAUGGAGUGGUGCCCCACUUAAGUACCUUGUGGCUCAUUGGUCCUCACCCUUCCUAGGGGCUUGGACCUUCCCUUUGGGAUGGAAGUGGUGUGGGGGGGGGGUUAGAGGCCAUACUGGGCCAUUAGGCCAUGGUGUUUCGCCCUGGCAUCCCAAAGCAUGUGUUGCACCCAAAGCUUGGGAUUUAGAGGGUCCUAUAAUCAAGUCUUGUGGUACCAAGGGAUAUUAAGGACCUGGAGGUUUGGUGUGCUUGGCUGCUUAUGCAUGCGAGGAGUGUAGCCAAACCUUAAAUCUAGUCUAACUCGGGGAGGGGGAUUGGGAGAGAUUUGGGAAUCCGUGGAUGGAUGGCUAAUGCUCUGUUGCUCGUGCAGUAAGUAGCUAAAACCAAGUAGGACCAAGUAGAAGCUGAUACCAUAGGCGGGAACCUUGGCGAGGGAAUUUAGUUAAAGCCAAGGCAGUGUUAGUCGGACAGACGAGGUAAAUUGGCAAAUUGGAAAGGAAAAUUUUGUGGUUUACACCCUAUUUCAGUAUAUUGGUGGCUUAAUGCUAAGAUAUGGGUAUUCCACUAACUAACAUGGUAUAGAGAUUAGGCUUAGACCCAAGCCAAAAGCAGAAUAAAAAUAGACAUGCAACUAAAAGGUAGACUAUACCUUAAUAAUUUACCCAUUAUCUUUACUACACAUUUGGAAACUAUUGUUUUUCCCUACCUCAGAAGAAUGUUAAGUCUAAUAUUUACUUUCAGAGAGAUUCACAAUUGAAGUGUAUGUGAAGUCCUCAAGAUGGUUGAUUAUAAUGGAAAAGGCUAUAUGAAAAAAGCAAUAAAAUGAGAAUAAAAAAGGGACCUUAACUAAUGUUUGUAAAACAUAACCUAAAACCAAAGCCAAAAUCAUUUGGAUUAAAUCAAGUAAAGUCAAUAGAUCAAGGUUUUUUAAAAAGUAAAGAAUAGAUAAAAGAUACAAUAGAAUCUUUUAUCAUUUCUUUCUAAUUUUUCUGUUCUUAGGCCUUGCUCUAGGCAUGAUCUCCACAGCUUGCAAUCGCAAAUCAGCUCGCAGCCUUGCACUUCUCUACAAGACACAGCUGCUCCCUGGCAUGAGCCAGAAUGAUCACCAUUUUAUCUAAGAAAGUCUGAGUGGGGAGGGCCUUUUUGAAAAGUUCUGCCCUAGCACUGUCCUUGCUGUUCUUGCUCGAGAUCCCAGGCAGGAGCAUUUGAAAAUGCCUCUCACAGGAGCUCCAUGGAUUGCUUCUCCUCCUCGUCCAUGGCUGUCGAUUAGUCCAGGUUUUGUGGUGUCACAGAGGGCAAGCCAGGGAUAUUUGGCACUUCUGAGAAAAUCACAAUAGUUCAUUAUUAGUGAGUCAUGAAUUUGUGAGACAAUCCAUUUGUCAUGAAUGUGUGUAAAAUAAAGAACUGACUGGUGAAGCAUAUGGGCUGGAGACCUUCGAGAUAAUAGAUUCAAACGCAGAGAAAGAAAAAGUUUGGCAAUUGUUUUGCUCGGGGAUUGGCUCCAGAGACCCAAUGGUGGCGAUCCCAUUGGAAAAGCCCUGGGUGAUUUGGAGUGGAAUCAGUUCAUGGUAGAAAUGUAGAGGAUGCCAAGGGCAGUCCCAUUCCCGCAGAUAAUGUGUAUCUGCCAUUCAACAUUGGAGAUGCAAGGAAAAAUUGCACAGUAGCCAGGGUGACAGGUGGAAAUACUCACCAGAUACUACAAGAUUUCACCCUAUUGGGCACAAAUGGACUGUAAACAAAACAGGUAGAUAACCAGGUAGAUAAGCAUGCUAAGGGUUAGGCAAUGUUAUUCUUUUUGGGUGGUCUUACGCUUGCAAGUGAUUUGUCGUUGACUUGCACAUUGUAAACAAGGAUGUGUAAACGUUUUGGUAGGACCAGCAUGGACCAGCUAAUGGAAACCGUGCAACUUAUGGGACAUACUGGUUACGUGCAUGGAAUAACAUACGGUGAACCAUGGAAUUAAAAAUGUGAGAUGUGAUCUCUGUCGGAUAAAUACCUCUUCUCCUGCCCCUGUUUCAUAACCCACAGAGGAGUGUAGAAAACAAAAGCUGUUUUCAGGACCGAUCAAACAGUUUUCAUUUCCAAAUGGCUGCAAUCUUGUUGAUGACCGUGUUGCUCAUGAUGGCUGGAAGAUGGUGUGCAUUGGCAAGAGAAAAGAUAGAGCGAGAUUUCUAGUGUCACUCCACCCCGUGAGAGAUGCCCACAAGAUCUUGUGGUAUAUGUACUGGGUGGAACUCCCCUUCCUCUCACAAAAGACGCUCGAGUUUGGCACCAUUCAUAUCUUGGUUAGUUUGUGCCAACAUGAAUCUCCAGGUGUGGUCAUAGCUCCUACACUGAUCAAAGCCAGCUUGCGCGAGGUAAAAGUUCGUUUUCCUCUGCUUUGUGCUACUUGAGCUACUGCUGCAGGAUAUCUAUGUGAAGGUCAUGUAAGAGGCCAAGACUUUGGAACUCACUCGGAGGUGGAGUUUUUGUCAUCCCCAAGAGCUGUGCAGAUGUUUCCUGAGCCGACAGUCCAUGAAAUUCACUUUAGGAGGACAUAGAAAUCAUUUAAACAUAUAUUCAACUGACGAAAUCUCUAUCAAGU